UUUUUCUGGGGAUUAGAGUUUAUAUUUGAAAUUCAAUGGAUCUGGCGGUUUUUAAAUCUUUUUAGAGGAACCUGUAAUUUAAAUGAUAGUCCACGAUUUUUUUUACCUUUUUUUUUCUUGUAUAUCUCUGUCGUUGAAUGUAAUGAUAAUUUAUUUUCCUAAUUUUUUUAUUAAAUUUAUGUUAGGUCAAGGUGCAGUUAUAAAGGGGUUAUUAUGGGUUACAUUAAUAUUUGUUUGUUGAUUUUUUUUUUUAAAAAAUUAUGAAUUUGGAUUUAAAAGUAAUUUUGUUUUUUAAAUUUUUUGAAUUUUGCUCUUGAUUAUGU
rnacentral:rRNA from 1 species